rnacentral:tRNA from 1 species
AGUGGUUAAUUAAAAGCUUGGCUGCUAACCAAAAGGUUGGUGGUUUGAAUCCACCAGCCACUC